UACGUAGGGUGCGAGCGUUAAUCGGAAUUACUGGGCGUAAAGCGUGCGCAGGCGGCUUUGCAAGACAGAUGUGAAAUCCCCGGGCUCAACCUGGGAACUGCAUUCGUGACUGCAAGGCUAGAGUACGGCAGAGGGGGAUGGAAUUCCGCGUGUAGCAGUGAAAUGCGUAGAUAUGCGGAGGAACACCAAUGGCGAAGGCAAUCCCCUGGGCCUGUACUGACGCUCAUGCACGAAAGCGUGGGGAGCAAACAGG
rnacentral:rRNA from 1 species